GGAAGAAGUUUGGCCUCCUCCUCCUGUUUUCACUGUUAUCUACUGUACACAACUUCCUGUAUGAGCACUGAGGGAGGCCGGUCCACUCAGAAAGACAGAAACAGAGAGAGACUCCCGUAUCAGAUGCUUCAAAGGACUUGCUGGCAUUGCAGUUGCUCUGCUUUUGAAUCCACAUUACGUGCACAUUAAGUAACAUAUGAUGAGCAGACAAUUGUAGGCUUAAAAAACAAUCAUAGAUUUGCCCAGCCUACCUCUGCUGGAUGGCAGCACAUCUGACCGGAGACGUCUGCGAGGAAAGGAUGAGCAAAUACAUAGACGUUUGGCAACAGCUCUGAGGAAUACUUGAGUUUCAGAGGAAUGAUGUCAUGUUCUGGACCAUGUUGCCAUAUUGGGACUUGUCAUGUGACCUGACAUCAGACAGCUCAUUCUGGACUGAUCAUUUUCCAUACUAUGCAGUUGGAAAAAUGGGAUAUUCAGACAUGAGGUAACAGUAUGGAAACCGACACUGAGGGCACAGAAAAAAAUUAAUAAAUGAUUACAUUUAAAAGAAU